UGCUUUUCAACAAGAAAAGAAGCUGAAUAUCCAGCAAGUGAAUUUUAACAUGCUUUUUGAAAGCCUUGAAAUAAAUCAAAGCUAGCUGGGUACCCUUCAGCAGCCAUGAGUGGCAAUUCCAGCCCUUCCAGUGAAUACUUAAAACAUAGUGGAAGCAAAGGACUUUGAACUGCUGUAACACUAAGGGCUCAACAGAACAGCUCUGUAGGGCAGGAGCUGGAGAAUAGUACCUGGAAAAGAUUUAACUUCAGUUAUCUCACCUUCCCUUUGCUGUGGACUGAGGACUAGCACUGGGCAUUCUCAUGGACAAGCUGAUAUGUGAUGCUGAGCCCUUUGAACCAGAUUGUGACAGUAUGAACAACAGGUGGGACUUCCACUCACUCCAAAAGAAUCCUUGCCAUAGCAAGUCAUCAAGGAUAUACAGUUUGGAUUUACAUUGGGAUGAAAGAGUAACAAAUGGUAUCUUGUAUCUCAAUCAAGAAUAAUUCUACUUGGUUGGUCACUGAUCAGCUACUCUUGAUGCCACAAGGAUAAAUUCCGACAUACUACUGGGAGACAAUGUACAGCUGAGCUACUCCAAUUUAUUUUAAUGACUGCAUAUCAAGAUAAAAUGCUUGAUGGAAAUGGUCUGGAAAGUAGUGACUUCUUGAGAAGAGCUGGAGAAAGCUGUUGUUUGCAUUUGUGAAUGAGCAUUUUGAAGUGCCUCUGGGAAAACCAUUUUUGAGCAGAAAA